rnacentral:rRNA from 1 species
GAUGAAUGCUGGCGGCGUGCCUAACACAUGCAAGUCGAGCGGCAGCGCGAGUAGUUUACUACUUGGCGACGAGCGGCGGACGGCUGAGUAACGCGUGGGAACGUGCCCCAAAGUGAGGAAAAACUGCCCGAAAGGGUGGCUAAUACCGCAUAUGAUCUUCGGAUUCAAGUCUUCGGACGCUUUGGGAGCGGCCCGCGUCGGAUUAGGUUGUUGGUGGGGUAAUGGCUCACCAAGCCGACGAUCCGUAGCUGGUCUGAGAGGAUGAUCAGCCAGACUGGGACUGAGACACGGCCCAGACUCCUACGGGAGGCAGCAGUGAGGAAUCUUCCACAAUGGGCGAAAGCCUGAUGGAGCAACGCCGCGUGCAGGAUGAAGGCCUUCGGGUCGUAAACUGCUUUUCUGAGUGAAGAAUAUGACGGUAACUCAUGAAUAAGCACCGGCUAACUACGUGCCAGCAGCCGCCGUAA